rnacentral:rRNA from 1 species
UACAGAGGGGGCAAGCGUUGUUCGGAAUUACUGGGCGUAAAGGGCGCGUAGGCGGCCUGCUAAGUCGAACGUGAAAUCCCCGGGCUCAACCCGGGAACUGCGUCCGAUACUGGCAGGCUUGAAUCCGGGAGAGGGAUGUGGAAUUCCAGGUGUAGCGGUGAAAUGCGUAGAUAUCUGGAGGAACACCGGUGGCGAAGGCGGCAUCCUGGGCCGGCAUUGACGCUGAGGCGCGAAAGCCAGGGGAGCAAACGGG